UACGUAGGGUGCGAGCGUUAAUCGGAAUUACUGGGCGUAAAGCGUGCGUAGGCGGUUGCGCAAGACAGGUGUGAAAUCCCCGGGCUUAACCUGGGAAUUGCAUUUGUGACUGUGCGGCUGGAGUGCGGCAGAGGGGGAUGGAAUUCCGCGUGUAGCAGUGAAAUGCGUAGAUAUGCGGAGGAACACCGAUGGCGAAGGCAGGCCCCUGGGCCUGGACUGACGGUUCUGCACGAAAGCGGGGGGAGCAAACAGG
rnacentral:rRNA from 1 species